CCCUUAGAUGUCCUGGGCCGCACGCGCGCUACACUGAUGCAUGCAACGAGUUUAUAACCUUGGCCUGAAAGGUCUGGGUAAUCUUUUGAACGCGCAUCGUGAUAGGGAUAGAUUAUUGCAAUUGUUAAUCUUGAACGAGGAAUUCCUAGUAAACGCGAGUCAUCAGCUCGCAUUGAUUACGUCCCUGCCCUUUGUACACACCGCCCGUCGCACCUACCGAUUGAAUGGUUCGGUGAAGAUCUCGGACUUCGAUAUUUAUUCUUUAUUGAGUUUAUAUUGUGGGAAGUUAUCUAAACCUCAUCAUUUAGAGGAAGGUGAAGUCGUAACA
rnacentral:rRNA from 1 species